UACGGGGGGGGGCAAGCGUUGUUCGGAAUUACUGGGCGUAAAGGGCGCGUAGGCGGCCUGCUAAGUCGGAUGUGAAAUCCCUCGGCUCAACCGAGGAACUGCAUCCGAUACUGGCGGGCUUGAAUCCGGGAGAGGGAUGUGGAAUUCCAGGUGUAGCGGUGAAAUGCGUAGAUAUCUGGAGGAACACCGGUGGCGAAGGCGGCAUCCUGGACCGGUAUUGACGCUGAGGCGCGAAAGCUAGGGGAGCAA
rnacentral:rRNA from 1 species